CUGUAAGAAGUGAUCCUGAAAGUGAUCCUGAAAGCAGAAAUGAAGGGACUUCUGUACAGUCUUACAGUGAACAAUCUGAUUCGUGUCAGUCUCCCCAUGAGAUUCUCAAGUCUAUGAGUGACAAAGUCUCACUAUGCUGCUCAGACUGAUAUCAAACUCCUACGCUCAAGCAAUCCUCUCGCCUCCACUUCCCAAAGUGCUGAGAUUACAGGCGUGAGUGAGCCACCUGGCCAGGCCCUACAGCCAAGUGAAAAACUGCAAGCAGCAGAAAAAUUUAUCUAAGAGUUUUAAAAGUCUAAACAUCUCAUUCUUUCGCAAUCCAGAUACCAACAGGAGUCUGAAACCCUUCGCAGAGGCGUGCAACACACUAGGAGAGCGCUAUCUGUUUACAAAUACGAAUCUCAGUUACCCACGUCAAAACCGCGCAUUACCACCUUUCGACUGGGGGGCGGGGGAGAGAGAAGGCGGGCGAGCAAGAAACAAAAUCCACACAGACACCUCUGCCUUCUCCCUACAAGGACGAGCCCGGGGAAACAUUCAGUAUGUAUUAUAUGCGUGUAUACAUUUAUAUACAUUAUGUAGUCACCUAUGUCUAAGCAAGGGUGAAAGAAAAAGGUACACAUGACAGGGAAUCGUAACUGGACCCAACAGAAAUGUUCAAACCAAUCCCGUUAACUCAAAAUCCGCCCCGCUGGUCUACAACAGGUUUCGGUCCGGGACCGGGAGCCCCAGCCACAGUGUGGAGUUCGUCCCCAAAGCGCCCCAAUGCCCUCCUCAGGCCGCCCAGGCCGCCGUCCCCACCUCCCUUAUCUCAGCCUUCCCCUGGGACACCCGAAGCCCGUUCCAGGAAAGAAAGAAGUGUCAGGCCCCCAGGGGGCGGCUGAGACGCUCUCAGGCCAGGCCCCCGACACCUGCGAAGC